GCCGAUCUGGAGGGCUGUCCGGCAGGCUAUUGCUUCCGCCCCAAAGGCUGAGGAAACUCUUUGAUGAACCUUCGUACAUGAUAGAAGAACUAAACCCUCCUUAUCACGGGCCACAACUCCAAUAGCCGCUUUACUUUGUCUACCAUCGUAUGCUGCAUCGAAAUUGAUUUUGACUACCCUAUCCACUGGCUUUAUCCAUAUUUUUACGGAUGGCCCAUACUGCUACACAAAAAAUUUGAUGCUGAGGAGUCGAGCUUUGUGAGAAAACCCAGGACAUUCCCGGAAGAGAUGGUCCAUGGUUUUAGUUCCUGAACUACAAUGAGGACAUAUUGUCGUAUUCGUCAGUCUUCUAAAUAGCAUAUUAGCACGCGUAGCUAGAAAAUUCCAAGAUAUCUUCCAAACUGUAAUUUUAAUUUUUGAAGGAAGAUCAAGUAACCAUAGUUUCCUGUAGAAAUCCUUGUAGUCGUUUUGUAAAGCAUAAGCUUCAGGGUUAUUUUCAAUGCUUUGUAAUAGUUUAUAGGCGCUCCGUGUUGUGAACUCACCCGUCGCUUCAACGCUCCAAACUUGGAAAUCUUCAUGGACUUUCAGCUAGUGGGAUACUGAGGAUCAUCUCUGCUACAUCCUCCGG